rnacentral:rRNA from 1 species
UUCCCGCUGAAUUUAAGCAUAUAAGUAAGCGGGGGAAAAGGAACUAAAUAGGAUUCCCUCAGUAAUGGCGAAUGAACAGGGAUGAGCUCAGGCUGGAAACCGAUACAUCUGUGUCGGGCUGUAGCCUGCAGGCAUAGCGCUAUCGGCGGCUCGAGCGCAAGCCUCUUGGAAUAGAGCGUGUGCCCGGGUGAGAAUCCUGCAUUUCGCUCGAUGUCCGCUGUCCACAGUGCUUGUCCUGAGAGUCACGCUCCUCGGAAUUGGAGCGUAAAUCAGGUGGUAAGUUUCAUCCAAAGCUAAAUAGAAGCUCGAGACCAAUAGCAAACAAGUACCAUGAGGGAAAGAUGAAAAGGACUUUGGAAAGAGAGUUAAAAGUGUUUGAAAUUGCUGAGAGCGAAGCGAACGGAGCCACAUGUCGUGCUGAGAUUGCUGUGGGUCUUUGUGAGCCUUGAGCAUGUAAGCGCAAGCUGACUGCUUAUGUGUGAGCAUUUGCCCGCAGUGUUUCUCAGCAUGCGAGUCAUUAGCCACAUUUGUUUGAGGAUGGCCUUCAGCUCACAUGGUACACUUGUUAGUGUUCCUCUGUGCGGUGUGGGACUCAGACAGGUGUGGCUUGUUGACC